rnacentral:rRNA from 1 species
CCCUUUUGGGUGGGCCUAGAAUGCGAGUCGUGCGUCUCUAAGCUAUGGUAGAGACGCGGCGUACGGCUCAGUAACACGUGGCUAACCUACCCAUAGGACGGGAACAACCCCGGGAAACUGGGGCUAAUACCCGAUAGGUGAGGAGGCCUGGAAUGGUUCCUAGUCGAAGAGGCGUUGAAACCAUGCUUUUCGACGUCGCCUAAGGAUGGGGCCGCGCCCGAUCAGGUUGUUGGUGGGGUAACGGCUCACCAAGCCUAUAACCGGUACGGGCCGUGAGAGCGGGAGCCCGGAGAUGGGCACUGAGACAAGGGCCCAGGCCCUACGGGGCGCAGCAGUCGCGAAAACUCCGCAAUGCGCGAAAGCGUGACGGGGCUACCCCGAGUGCCGUCCGCUGAGGAUGGCUUUUCCCCGGUGUAAUGAGCCGGGGGAAUAAGGAGAGGGCAAGUCUGGUGUCAGCCGCCGCGGUAAUACCAGCUCUCCGAGUGGUAGGGAUAAUUAUUGGGCUUAAAGCGUUCGUAGCCGGCUAGGCAAGUCUUCCGUUAAAUCCGACGGCCUAAUCGUCGGGCUGCGGGGGAUACUGCUUGGCUAGGGGGCGGAAGAGGCCGACGGUAUUCUCGGGGUAGGGGUGGAAUCCUAUAAUCCCGGGAGGACCACCAGUGGCGAAGGCGGUCGGCCAGAACGCGCUCGACGGUGAGGGACGAAAGCUGGGGGAGCGAACCGGAUUAGAUACCCGGGUAGUCCCAGCUGUAAACGAUGCGGGCUAGGUGAUGGGGGUGGCUGCGAGCCAUCCCAGUGCCCCAGGGAAGCCGUUAAGCCCGCCGCCUGGGGGAGUACGAUCGCAAGAUUGAAACUUAAAGGAAUUGGCGGGGGAGCACCACAAGGGGUGAAGCCUGCGGUUCAAUUGGAGUCAACGCCGGG